rnacentral:rRNA from 1 species
GCUUACGGUCAUACAACCCAGUCUGCGCCUGAUCUCGUCUGAUCUUGGAAGCUAAGCUGGGUCGGGCCUGGUUAGUA